AUUGAACGCUGGCGGCAUGCCUUACACAUGCAAGUCGAACGGUAACAGGUCUUCGGAUGCUGACGAGUGGCGAACGGGUGAGUAAUACAUCGGAACGUGCCCGAUCGUGGGGGAUAACGGAGCGAAAGCUUUGCUAAUACCGCAUACGAUCUCAGGAUGAAAGCAGGGGACCGCAAGGCCUUGCGCUCACGGAGCGGCCGAUGGCAUAUUAGGUAGUUGGUGGGAUAAAAGCUUACCAAGCCGACGAUCUGUAGCUGGUCUGAGAGGACGACCAGCCACACUGGAACUGAGACACGGUCCAGACUCCUACGGGAGGCAGCAGUGGGGAAUUUUGGACAAUGGGCGCAAGCCUGAUCCAGCCAUUCCGCGUGCAGGAUGAAGGCCUUCGGUUGGUAACUAGCUUUGUUACGGUAACGAAACGGACGGAGACGUCUAAUACAAGUUUGUCUAAUGACGGUACCGUAACGAAUAAGACACCGGCCUAACUAACGUGCCAGCAGCC
rnacentral:rRNA from 1 species